UAGGGAAUAUUGCUUAAUGGGCGAAAGCCUGAAGCAGCAACGCCGCGUGUGUGAAGAAGGCCUUCGGGUUGUAAAACACUUUUUGAGGGGAUGAGGAAGGACAGUACCCUCAGAAUAAGCCUCGGCUAACUGCGUGCCAGCAGCCGCGGUAAAACGUAGGAGGCGCGCGUUAUCCGGAUUUACUGGGCGUAAAGCGCGUGCAGGCGGCACGGCAAGUUGGAUGUGAAAGCUCCCGGCUUAACUGGGAGAGGUCGUUCAAAACUGCCGAGGUAGAGUGCGGGAGAGGGAGGUGGAAUUCCGGGUGUAGUGGUGAAAUGCGUAGAUAUCAGGAGGAACACCAGUGACGAAAGCGGCCUCCUGGUCCGCAACUGACGCUCAGACGCGAAAGCUAGGGUAGCAAACGG
rnacentral:rRNA from 1 species